GGGCGGGAGAAGAAGAAGAAUUAGUAAAGUGUGAUCAUAAUGUCUGCUAGCGGCGGCACCGGAGAUGAAGAUAAGAAGCCUAAUGAUCAGAUGGUUCAUAUCAAUCUCAAGGUUAAGGGUCAGGAUGGGAAUGAAGUUUUUUUCAGGAUCAAACGUAGCACACAGAUGCGCAAGCUCAUGAAUGCUUAUUGUGACCGGCAGUCAGUGGACAUGAACUCAAUUGCAUUCUUAUUUGAUGGGCGCAGGCUUAGGGCAGAGCAAACUCCUGAUGAGCUGGAGAUGGAGGAGGGUGAUGAAAUCGAUGCAAUGCUACAUCAAACUGGAGGCAGUUGCUGCACUUGUUUCUCUAAUUUUUAACUUGGUUUAUGUUAGUAGAUUGUUUAGGGUAAUACUUUCAACUCCCUCAUCUGCUCUAAGAUGGGUAAAUUUAUGAAUGUUUAGUUUUCAGUAUUAGAUGAUGACACUACUAAAUGGUUCAAUUUUCAUGGCAUUUGUAAAAGUUUACUCUUAAUAUGGUUUCAGA
rnacentral:misc_RNA from 1 species